AUGGCUCAGUGAGGCCUUGGGACUGGCUCAGAGAGGUCGGCAACGACCACUCAGAGCCGGAAACUUGGUCAAACUUGGUCAUUUAGAGGAAGUAAAAGUCGUAACAAGGUUUCCGUGCCUAACACCCUCCGGGGUUCGAGGCCGGGAUGAGAAGUGAUUCCUUCCACAGGUGGCGCUUCGGAAGCCUUAGCAGCCUGAAAAGGUGGCCCUCUGACGACGAUAAAAUAAAAAGAGGUGCUGAAAUGCUAGUCAGUUAGCACACUGGCGACACCGUCAAAUUGCGGGAACCCCCUAAAGACUUCUGCUACCAAGCAGUGCUGGGAAACCUCACUGUGGCCAGGGUAAUGACCUCGGGUAUGGUAACAACGCAGAGUAUGAUCCUCUGGUAUUCAGUGGUGAAAUGGGCAAUCUGCAGCCAAGUCCGUCGUGCUCCUCUGGGGUGCCGGAUGCCGUUCACAGGCCAAAUGGUGGUGGGUUGACUUGGGCAUCAAGUCAGCUUAAGAUAUGGUCGGACCCCUGGGAAACCUUGCGGGAUAGUCACCAUGUAGUUAAAUGGAGGCGGGGAGCGAAAAAGUGCAAGCUUCUCACCAUGGGCGACUACGACAACCAGCUAUACAGCACACACGCUCCUGGGCGUACCACAAAAAUGUUCCGUAGGUGAACCUGCGGAAGGAUCAUUAACGAGUUAAGGUCUUCCAGGCCUGACCUCCCAACCCUAUGUUUACUGAACCUUCGUUGCUUCGGCGGACCCCGCCUCUCGGCCGCCGGAGGACCGCCUCACGGCGUCCUCUGGCCCGCGUCCGUCGACGGCCAACCUCAAAAACGCUGAAAUAACCGUGUCGUCUGUCUCAGUCCCAUGAUUUAAAUUAAAGCAAAACUUUCAACAACGGAUCUCUUGGUUCUGGCAUCGAUGAAGAACGCAGCGAAAUGCGAUAAGUAAUGCGAAUUGCAGAAUUCCAGUGAGUCAUCGAAUCUUUGAACGCACAUUGCGCCCUUUGGCAUUCCGAAGGGCAUGCCUGUUCGAGCGUCAUUAUCACCCCUCGGGCCCUGUGCUCGAUGUUGGACGGCUGGUUGGGCAACCGACCCCUCCUAAAGACAAUGACGGCGGCCUGUGGCGCCCCCGGUACACUGAGCUUUUCACGGAGCACGUACCGGACGAGGGCGCCCGGGACCCGGUCCUCUCCUUUCACUAGGAACCUUCUCAAGGUUGACCUCGGAUCAGGUAGGAAUACGCGCUGAACUUAAGCAUAUCAAUAAGCGCAGGAAAAGAAACCAACAGGGAUUACCUCAGUAACGGCGAGUGAAGCGGUAAUAGCUCAAAUUUGAAAUCUGGCCUCUCGGGGUCCGAGUUGUAAUUUGUAGAGGACGUUUUGGGUACCGCCCCGGUCUAAAUUUCUUGGAACAGAAUGUCAUAGAGGGUGAGAAUCCCGUCUUGGACCGGCGGUAGGGCCUGUGUAAAACUCCUUCGACGAGUCGAGUUGUUUGGGAAUGCAGCUCAAAAUGGGUGGUAAAUUUCAUCUAAAGCUAAAUAUUAGCCAGAGACCGAUAGCGCACAAGUAGAGUGAUCGAAAGAUGAAAAGCACUUUGAAAAGAGAGUUAAACAGUAUGUGAAAUUGUUGAAAGGGAAGCGCUUGCAACCAGACUUGAGCGCGGCGGUUCCCCCGGCCUUUUGGCCGGGCUACUCCGCCGUGUCCAGGCCAACAUCGGUUCUGAGGGUCGGUCAAAGGCCCCGGGAAUGUAUCUACCCACGGGUAGACUUAUAGACCGGGGUGUCAUGCGGCCUCUCGGGACCGAGGAACGCGCUUCGGCUCGGAUGUUGGCGUAAUGGUUGUCAGCGACCCGUCUUGAAACACGGACCAAGGAGUCUAACAUCUAUGCGAGUGUUUGGGUGUCAAACCCGGAACGCGAAAUGAAAGUGAACGGAGGUAGGAAGCUUCGGCUGCACUAUCGACCGAUCCUGAAGUUUACGGAAGGAUUUGAGUAAGAGCAUAGCUGUUGGGACCCGAAAGAUGGUGAACUAUGCCUGAAUAGGGUGAAGCCAGAGGAAACUCUGGUGGAGGCUCGCAGCGGUUCUGACGUGCAAAUCGAUCGUCAAAUUUGGGUAUAGGGGCGAAAGACUAAUCGAACCAUCAGAGACACACUGCGUUAUCAAAGGUGGAAGAACUUGAAAAGAUCCCUCAAAAUACGAGUAGGCGCGCCAGUUGAUGGGUCAUGGCUGACGCGUUCCAGAAGCUAAUGACUCCUGCGUCCGGCGCGAUCCCCCGCCGGCCAGCGAAAAAUGGCAAGGGGACACAAACGGAUCCCGCUACGCGAAAGCGUAGCGGUUCCGAGUCAAUACUUGCCAUGUAGGCUUUAUGGGAGAAAGGGAAUCCCGCUCGUAUUUUAUGACCCGACCCGGGGACAACAAUAUCCUUAUUUAAGGAGCAUCUUUAUCAACGUAUUCUUACCGUAGUAGUUACCGGUGGUUGAGUGUAACCAUGAAAGUGGUUGCAAGUGCCUAGUUCUGGCGCGACACUAUCAAAUUGCGGGGACUCCCUAAAGCUUUAACGACCGCCCCGCCUAUGAAAAUAUGGCGCGGGCACCGGGUUAAUGACCCCGGGUAUGGUAAAACUGUUAAAGAUGCGACAAUGGGUAAUCUGCAGCCAAGUCCUAAGGGCCUAUUGGCCUAUGGACACAGUUCACAGACUAAAUGGUAGUGGGCUCUUCGUGGGCUUAAGAUAUAGUCGGUCCCCCAGGGAAACCUGGGCACACUCGCUAAAUCUGGGGGGAAGACUCUGCCUCGGGCAGUUCCUCCAGACCUGAACGGUGUGGGCGCCCUUCGGG
rnacentral:rRNA from 1 species